rnacentral:lncRNA from 1 species
CUCUUACAGUCUUUCUACCUCAACUUGUGAAGAACAUAGGCCGUGGAAGUGCUUCCCUGGACGGCUGCUGAGCUGAGUGGUGACUAUGAGCAAUUACCAUCUGACAGUUACUCUGUGGCUUAAGGAAAAUGGCUUGUGGUCACACUCCAAUUCCUGCUGGACAGGUAUCCACGUCAGAGGAAACCACCACUAAAUCUGGCACCUCGAUGAUCUAUUAUUGGCAGCAUGGAGCGAAGGCCUGAAUCAGCACUCCGAUGUGAGGGCUCUGACCAUCCAACCUGGUCACUCCAGGUCAGGCUGAGAGAGGCAUGUGUGAGCUGCUUAAAACAGGAAUCUUUAAGGGGUUAUUGCCUGAUCCCAUUUAACAGUCUAUGAAUAAAAUGAUUAU